AAAAUUAUUAGUGUUCCAGUAAAAAUCACGCGAUGUAUUGUAGGUCGGUGGUAAAAAAUAUUUACUAUUUAGCGCAAUGUUUUUAUGGCCACCAAUAACAUUGAUUCAACAAAAUGCAUAUAUUUACAGAAUGUCCAACGGAGGUAUGACAAUCAUUUUUUCUAUUCAGCAUUUAUAAGUUUUUAUUUUUUGGAACAAUUACUAAAGCCUU